rnacentral:lncRNA from 1 species
GCUCUGAUAAGUACCCUUGGCUGUAUCACCUUGUAUGGAUGGCGUCACGAUGUCUGGAAGGGGAGGAGCACAUGGGAGAAGAAAGAAAAGAUCCUGCAGAAAUUGGCUUGGAUCCUGAUUUGACCUGUAACCAGUGGAGCUGAAGCUCCUGCAAACUCCAGGUGAUUGACAACACACGAAGAAAUUAACUAUUUUCAGUAUCUCUACUCUGCAAUUACCUUAAAAUUUGAAAAUGGAUAAUUUGUUCCUAGUUCUUUAGUGAAUAUCAAAAAACUUCAACUUUUGAGUAGGCUGAGCCCAGCUGUGUUAUUCUGAACCUUUCUGCUGUUUCAUUUAACCUUCCAAAUUCCACAUGGCUUAGCCCAAAUAAGUAUAAAGUAUUUUUCACAGUGUUACUAAAGAUCUGCAUUUUAA